rnacentral:rRNA from 1 species
GAUGAACGUUGGCGGCGUGGAUUAGGCAUGCAAGUCGUGCGCGAAUCGUAGCAAUACGAGGAGAGCGGCGAAAGGGAGAGGAUAGCAUAGAUACCUACCCUCGGACCUGGGAUAGCUAUGGGAAACUAUAGGUAAUACCAGAUAAUGUCUCCGGACCAAAGGUGUGAUUCCGUCCGGGGAGGGGUCUAUGUCCUAUUAGCUUGUUGGUGAGGUAACGGCACACCAAGGCAAAGAUGGGUACGAGGCGUGAGAGGGUGUCCUCGCUCACUGGGGCUGAGACACUGCCCAGACACCUACGGGUGGCUGCAGUCGAGAAUCUUCGGCAAUGGGCGCAAGCCUGACCGAGCGACGCCGCGUGUGGGAUGAAGGCCUUCGGGUUGUAAACCACUGUCAGUGCGGAGGAAAUAUAGUGGGGUUCUCCCCAUUAUUUGACCUAUGCGCAGAGGAGGGACGGGCUAAGUUCGUGCCAGCCGCCGCGGUAA